UACGGAGGAGGCAAGCGUUAUCCGGAAUUAUUGGGCGUAAAGCGUCCGCAGGUGGCGAUUCAAGUCUGCGGUCAAAGACUGGGGCUUAACCCUGGAAAGGCCGUGGAAACUGAAUAGCUAGAGUGCAGUAGGGGUAGAGGGAAUUCCGGUCGUAGCGGUGAAAUGCGUAGAGCUCGGGAAGAACAUCGGUGGCGAAAGCGCUCUGCUGGACUGCAACUGACACUCAGGGACGAAAGCUAGGGGAGCGAAUGGG
rnacentral:rRNA from 1 species